rnacentral:rRNA from 1 species
UGCCAGCAGCCGCGGUAAGACGAACCGUCCAAACGUUAUUCGGUAUCACUGGGCUUAAAGAGUUCGUAGGCGGCCAUGUAGGUCAGGUGUGAAAUCCCACAGCUCAACUGUGGAACUGCGCUUGAAACCACAUGGCUUGAGGGAGAUAGAGGUGAGCGGAACUGAUGGUGGAGCGGUGAAAUGCGUUGAUAUCAUCAGGAACACCGGUGGCGAAAGCGGCUCACUGGAUCUUUUCUGACGCUGAGGAACGAAAGCUAGGGUAGCGAACGGGAUUAGAUA